rnacentral:rRNA from 1 species
GGGGGCCCGCAAGCGGUGGAGCAUGUGGUUUAAUUCGACGCAACGCGAAGAACCUUACCUGGGCUCGAAAUGCAGUGGACAGGGGUGGAAACAUCCCCUUCCGCAAGGACCGCUGUAUAGGUGCUGCAUGGCUGUCGUCAGCUCGUGUCGUGAGAUGUUGGGUUAAGUCCCGCAACGAGCGCAACCCUUAUUGCCAGUUGCCAUCAUUUAGUUGGGAACUCUGGCGAAACUGCCUCGGAUAACGGGGAGGAAGGUGGGGAUGACGUCAAGUCCUCAUGGCCUUUAUGUCCAGGGCUACACACGUGCUACAAUGGCCGGUACAAACCGUCGCAAACCCGCAAGGGGGAGCUAAUCGGAAAAAGCCGGCCUCAGUUCGGAUUGGAGUCUGCAACUCGACUCCAUGAAGCUGGAAUCGCUAGUAAUCGCGGAUCAUCAUGCCGCGGUGAAUACGUUCCCGGGCCUUGUACACACC